rnacentral:rRNA from 1 species
AACGAACGCUGGCGGCAUGCCUAACACAUGCAAGUCGAACGAGACCUUCGGGUCUAGUGGCGCACGGGUGCGUAACGCGUGGGAACCUGCCCUUAGGUUCGGAAUAACUCCCCGAAAGGGGUGCUAAUACCGGAUAAUGUCUUCGGACCAAAGAUUUAUCGCCUUUGGAUGGACCCGCGUUGGAGUAGCUAGUUGGUAGGGUAAAAGCCUCCCAAGGCGACGCUCCAUAGCUGGUUUCAGAGGAUGAUCAGCCACACUGGGACUGGGACACGGCCCCGACUCCUACGCGAGGCAGCAGUGGGGAAUAUUGCACAGUGGGCGAACGCCUGAUCCACCAAUGCCGCGUGAGUGAUGAAGGCCUUAGGGUUGAAAAGCUCUUUUACCCAGGAUGAUAAUGACCGUACCGGGAGAAUAAGCUCCGGCUAACUCCGUG